rnacentral:rRNA from 1 species
CCCUUCGAUACUCUGGGCGGCACGCGCGCUACAAUAAGUUCUAUAAUGUGUUACAGUUACGAAGCGUAGUUGUGAAUCAUCAAUAGGACUUUGUGAAUGGGAUAGUCUUCUGAAAUUUCUAGACUUGAAAGAGGAAUCCCUUGUAAAUGUGUUAAAGAAUAGCACGUUGAAUACGUCCCUGUGGAAUGUACACACCGCCCGUCGUUUCUUCCGACUGAUACUCAAUGUGAAUUAUAAAGAGCAUUGCGAACUGUCGUGAAUGUUGAGUAUUGGAGGAAGAAAAAGUCGUAACA